AAGACCUUGCACUUUUGGAGCGGCCGAUGUCUGAUUAGCUAGUUGGUGGGGUAAUGGCCUACCAAAGCUUCGAUCAGUAGCUGGUCUGAGAGGACGGCCAGCCACACUGGGACUGAGACACGGCCCAGACUCCUACGGGAGGCAGCAGUGGGGAAUUUUGGACAAUGGGCGCAAGCCUGAUCCAGCCAUGCCGCGUGAGUGAAGAAGGCCUUCGGGUUGUAAAGCCCUUUCAGCCGGGAAGAAAAGGUUGCGACUAAUAAUCGCAAUUCAUGACGGUACCGGAAGAAGAAGCACCGGCUAACUACGUGCCAGCAGCCGCGGUAAUACGUAGGGUGCGAGCGUUAAUCGGAAUUACUGGGCGUAAAGGGUGCGCAGGCGGUUUUGUAAGUCAGAUGUGAAAUCCCCGGGCUUAACCUGGGAACU
rnacentral:rRNA from 1 species